GAUGAACGCUGGCGGCGUGCCUAAUACAUGCAAGUCGAGCGAACAGAUAAGGAGCUUGCUCCUUUGACGUUAGCGGCGGACGGGUGAGUAACACGUGGGUAACCUACCUAUAAGACUGGGAUAACUUCGGGAAACCGGAGCUAAUACCGGAUAACAUUUGGAACCGCAUGGUUCUAAAGUGAAAGAUGGUUUUGCUAUCACUUAUAGAUGGACCCGCGCCGUAUUAGCUAGUUGGUAAGGUAACGGCUUACCAAGGCAACGAUACGUAGCCGACCUGAGAGGGUGAUCGGCCACACUGGAACUGAGACACGGUCCAGACUCCUACGGGAGGCAGCAGUAGGGAAUCUUCCGCAAUGGGCGAAAGCCUGACGGAGCAGCGCCGCGUGAGUGAUGAAGGGUUUCGGCUCGUAAAACUCUGUGAUUAGGGAAGAACAAAUGUGUAAGUAACUGUGCACGUCUUGACGGUACCUAAUCAGAAAGCCACGGCUAACUACGUG
rnacentral:rRNA from 1 species